CUACGGAGGGGGCUAGCGUUGUUCGGAAUUACUGGGCGUAAAGCGCACGUAGGCGGAACGGUCAGUUGGGGGUGAAAUCCCGGGGCUCAACCUCGGAACUGCCUUCAAUACUGCCGUUCUUGAGUCCGGAAGAGGUGAGUGGAAUUCCUAGUGUAGAGGUGAAAUUCGUAGAUAUUAGGAAGAACACCAGUGGCGAAGGCGGCUCACUGGUCCGGUACUGACGCUGAGGUGCGAAAGCGUGGGGAGCAAACAGGAUUAGAUACCCGAGUAGUCC
rnacentral:rRNA from 1 species